GAUGAACGCUGGCGGCGUGCUUAACGCAUGCAAGUCGAACGAAGCACUUUAUUUGAUUUCCUUCGGGACUGAUUAUUUUGUGACUGAGUGGCGGACGGGUGAGUAACGCGUGGGUAACCUGCCUUGUACAGGGGGAUAACAGUUGGAAACGGCUGCUAAUACCGCAUAAGCGCACGGCAUCGCAUGAUGCAGUGUGAAAAACUCCGGUGGUAUAAGAUGGACCCGCGUUGGAUUAGCUAGUUGGUGAGGUAACGGCCCACCAAGGCGACGAUCCAUAGCCGACCGGAGAGGGUGACCGGCCACAUUGGGACUGAGACACGGCCCAAACUCCUACGGGAGGCAGCAGUGGGGAAUAUUGCACAAUGGGCGAAAGCCUGAUGCAGCGACGCCGCGUGAGCGAAGAAGUAUUUCGGUAUGUAAAGCUCUAUCAGCAGGGAAGAUAAUGACGGUACCUGACGAAGAAGCACCGGCUAAAUACGUG
rnacentral:rRNA from 1 species